rnacentral:misc_RNA from 1 species
AAACCCUCAUGGAGUAAUUCAUGGUAUUGGGGACCGCCGGUCAACGGCGACCUCCUGAAACUGACAGGGAAUUGCCCCCGUGUUAGACUGAUAGAAAUCAUUUAUUGUCGAAUCGCGGUCAGGCAGCGCCCUUCAAGAAAAGUGCCCCCCUGGGACACCUUAC